UACAGAGGUGGCGAGCGUUGUUCGGAUUCAUCGGGCGUAAAGGGUCCGUAGGCGGUCCGGAAAGUCGGAUGUGAAAUCCCACGGCUCAACUGUGGAACUGCAUUCGAAACUCCCGGACUAGGGUGUGAGAGGGGUGAAGGGAAUUCCCGGUGUAAGGGCGAAAUCUGCAGAGAUCGGGAGGAACACCAGUCGCGAAGGCGCUUCACUGGCUCACUACUGACGCUCAGGGACGAAAGCUAGGGGAGCAAACGGG
rnacentral:rRNA from 1 species